UAGUUUAUACUAAGUGACCCAUAGGUUGAGGAGGCGGUGGAGGAGGAGGCAGCCAACACUGGUUUUAUAUAUAUUUUAAUUGUGGUAGCCCCCAAAAUAUUGGGACAUAUGAAAAAAAUGACAACUCUGUUCUGCAGAGUAGCUGUUUACAUUAUAGUUGCACAGGAACUUUGUUGACCCUAGAGAACCUCCCCGUGGCGGCGACUUUGCAUGCGGAUGUCAUCCAUAUCAACUUUCGAUGCCAGUUUCUGCACCUACCAUGGUGACAUGGGUAACGGGGAACCAGGGUUCCAUUCCAUACAGGGAACCUGAGUAACGGCUACCACAUGCAAGUAAGGCAGCAGGUGCACAAAUGACCCACUCCCGACGCGGGAAGAUAGUGACGACAAAUAACAAUACACUACUCUUUAGAGGCCCUGUAAUUGUAAUGAGUCCACUUUAAAUCCUUUAACUCUGAUCAAUUGGAGGGAAGUCUGGUGCAGAGCCACUGACCCGUGCGCGCUGCAGCUGAAACUCCACU